CAGCAGCCGCGGUAAUACGGAGGAUGCGAGCGUUAUCCGGAUUUAUUGGGUUUAAAGGGAGCGCAGACGGGUUUUUAAGUCAGCUGUGAAAGUUUGGGGCUCAACCUUAAAAUUGCAGUUGAUACUGGAGACCUUGAGUGCAGUUGAGGCAGGCGGAAUUCGUGGUGUAGCGGUGAAAUGCUUAGAUAUCACGAAGAACUCCGAUUGCGAAGGCAGCUUGCUAAAGUGUAACUGACGUUCAUGCUCGAAAGUGUGGGUAUCAAACAGGAUUAGAGACCCUGGUAGUCCACACGGUAAACGAUGGAUACUCGCUGUUGGCGAUAUACGGUCAGCGGCUUAGCGAAAGCGUUAAGUAUCCCACCUGGGGAGUACGCCGGCAACGGUGAAACUUAAAGGAAUUGGCGGG
rnacentral:rRNA from 1 species